rnacentral:rRNA from 1 species
UGGGGAAUUUUGGACAAUGGGCGCAAGCCUGAUCCGGCAAUGCCGCGUGUGUGAAGAAGGCCUUCGGGUUGUAAAGCACUUUUGUCCGGAAAGAAAUCCGUCUGGCUAAUACCCGGACGGGAUGACGGUACCGGAAGAAUAAGCACCGGCUAACUACGUGCCAGCAGCCGCGGUAAUACGUAGGGUGCGAGCGUUAAUCGGAAUUACUGGGCGUAAAGCGUGCGCAGGCGGCUUUGUAAGACAGAUGUGAAAUCCCCGGGCUCAACCUGGGAACUGCAUUUGUGACUGCAAGGCUAGAGUGCGUCAGAGGGAGGUGGAAUUCCGCGUGUAGCAGUGAAAUGCGUAGAGAUGCGGAGGAACACCGAUGGCGAAGGCAGCCUCCUGGGUUGACACUGACGCUCAUGCACGAAAGCGUGGGGAGCAAACA